AACGAACGCUGGCGGCAUGCCUAACACAUGCAAGUCGAACGAGACCUUCGGGUCUAGUGGCGCACGGGUGCGUAACGCGUGGGAACCUGCCCUUAGGUUCGGAAUAACUCCCCGAAAGGGGUGCUAAUACCGGAUAAUGUCUUCGGACCAAAGAUUUAUCGCCUUUGGAUGGGCCCGCGUUGGAUUAGCUAGUUGGUAGGGUAAAAGCCUACCAAGGCGACGAUGCAUAGCUGGUGUGAGAGGAUGAUCAGCCAGACUGGGACUGAGACACGGCCCAGACUCCGACGGGAGGGAGCAGUAGGGAGUAUUGGACGAUGGGCGCAAGCCUGAUCCAGCAAUGUCGGGUAAGUGAUGAAGGCCUUAGGGUUGUAAAGCUCUUUUACACGGGAUGAUAAUGACAGUACCGGGAGAAUAAGCUCCGGCUAACUCCGUG
rnacentral:rRNA from 1 species